rnacentral:rRNA from 1 species
UGACCUCAGAUCAGGUAGGAUUACCCGCUGAACUUAAGCAUAUCAAUA